rnacentral:rRNA from 1 species
AGUGAACGCUGGCGGUAGGCCUAACACAUGCAAGUCGAACGGCAGCACAGAGGAGCUUGCUCCUUGGGUGGCGAGUGGCGGACGGGUGAGGAAUACAUCGGAAUCUACUCUGUCGUGGGGGAUAACGUAGGGAAACUUACGCUAAUACCGCAUACGACCUACGGGUGAAAGCAGGGGACCUUCGGGCCUUGCGCGAUUGAAUGAGCCGAUGUCGGAUUAGCUAGUUGGCGGGGUAAAGGCCCACCAAGGCGACGACCCGUAGCUGGUCUGAGAGGAUGAUCAGCCACACUGGAACUGAGACGCGGUCCAGACUCCUACGGGAGGCAGCAGUGGGGAAUAUUGGACAAUGGGCGCAAGCCUGAUCCAGCCAUACCGCGUGGGUGAAGAAGGCCUUCGGGUUGUAAAGCCCUUUUGUUGGGAAAGAAAUCCAGCUGGCUAAUACCCGGUUGGGAUGACGGUACCCAAAGAAUAAGCACCGGCUAACUUCGUGCCAGCAGCCGCAGUAA